AUUCCUCUCUGAGAAUGGCCCGCGGCCAUGACAUUGUGUGACCUCCAUCAGCUCCAGCUGGGUCCCUGUUACCCUUCCUCAAUCGUCGGCUCAUUCACGGCAUGAGUGUCUGUCCUGACGAUGGAGCUGACCCGACCGGAGACUGAGUGACAUGCAAAUCCAGGCUGGAGUUACUGUCCUCCCUCUCUCCGGAGCUGCGAGUGGAUUCUGCUCCCUAUGCUUUGGAGAUAAUCAUGAACAGACAUUCACUUCUUGGCCUCCUGGAAAUUCCGGUUUCACUGGAGAAAACAGACAUCAGCCAAAAGAACAAAGAAAUAAAAUUACAAAAGAUUCCAGCUCCCGGUUCCAGGCCUUUGGAGAGGAUUCUAAACCGAGCUGUAAUGUGGUCUAUAAUCCCAUUAAAAAUAUCAUUAAUGUAUUCUUC